rnacentral:rRNA from 1 species
GAACGCUGGCGGCGUGCUUAACACAUGCAAGUCGAACGGAAAGGCCCUGCUUUUGUGGGGUGCUCGAGUGGCGAACGGGUGAGUAACACGUGAGUAACCUGCCCUUGACUUUGGGAUAACUUCAGGAAACUGGGGCUAAUACCGGAUAGGAGCUCCUGCUGCAUGGUGGGGGUUGGAAAGUUUCGGCGGUUGGGGAUGGACUCGCGGCUUAUCAGCUUGUUGGUGGGGUAGUGGCUUACCAAGGCUUUGACGGGUAGCCGGCCUGAGAGGG